CGCGGCCUAUCAGCUUGUUGGUGUGGUAAAAGCUCACCAAGGCAUCGACGGGUAGCGGGUGUGAGAGCAUGGCCCGCCUCACUGGGACUGAGACACGGCCCAGACUCCUACGGGAGGCUGCAGUCAAGAAUCUUGGACAAUGCCCGAAAGGGUGAUCCAGCGACGCCGCGUGACCGAUGAAGCCCUUCGGGGUGUAAAGGUCUUUUCUAUGGGACGAACAAAUGACGGUACCUUAGGAAUAAGGGGUUGCUAACUCUGUGCCAGCAGCAGCGGUAAUACAGAGACCCCAAGCGUUAUCCGGAUUUAUUGGGCGUAAAGCGUGCGCAGGUGGUUUAUUAAGUCGAUGGUCAAAUCUCAGGGCUCAACCCUGAAACUGCCAUUGAUACUGAUAAACUAGAGGCUGGAAGAGGCAAGCGGAAUUGCCGGUGUAGGGGUAAAAUCCGUUGAUAUCGGUAGGAACACCAAAUGCGAAGGCAGCUUGCUGGGACAGUCCUGACACUGAAGCACGAAAGCGUGGGGAGCGAAGAGGAUUAGAUACCCUCGUAGUCCACGCCGUAAACGCUGGGCACUGGACAUUGGAAGUAUCGACCCUUUCAGUGUCGUUUUACUAAAGCUAACGCGUUAAGUGCCCCGCCUGGGGAGUACGG
rnacentral:rRNA from 1 species